rnacentral:rRNA from 1 species
UACGGAGGGGGCGAGCGUUGUCCGAAGUUACUGGGCGUAAAGCGCGCGUAGGCGGGAGGCCAAGUCCGCUGUGAAAGCCCGGGGCUCAACCCCGGCGGGUCGGUGGAGACUGGUCUUCUUGAAGAUGCUAGGGGGAGGUGGAAUUAUCGGUGUAGCGGUGAAAUGCGUAGAUAUCUGGAGGAACACCGGUGGCGAAGGCGGCAUCCUGGACCGAGAUUGACGCUGAGGCGCGAAAGCCAGGGGAGCAAACGGG